CCCCUUAACAGGACGACUCACCCUUUGUUUCUUUAUCCUCUGCAGAUUGAGCUCAGAAAGCUAAUACCACUGCAUAAGGAGCUAGAGCAUUAGGUUUUCCAUAGGUGGUGACUUCUGAGGACUUCCUGCCAUGGGCUUGGUUACUCCUAUUUUCUCUAUUUCUUUAUUUUCUUCUAUAUUAGUUAAAUGUAGUCUUGUUUCCUCUUGAGCAUGUGGAAAACUCCCUUCCCCAUAAGGUGCUAAUUGAAUUUGCAAUGGGACUUCAUAAAUGGCUUCAGCAAUUCCUUUCAUUAAGGUAUAUCAACCAUUUCCACUGAUGACUCAUCCCUCCUCUGCAAAUCUAUGUAUCCAUCCUCUCCGGCCACCUCUUCAGAUGAUCCUUUCCCUUUAUAUUUAGCAAAUGCAUGACUAAUCCAAUCCUUAGAGGAAUGAUGCUGACAUUUUUUACCUUGUUUUUCUUUCUCCAUCAGUCCUCUAGCAGAUCCAUUAACAUUACUAGAUUGAUUGCUUGCACUGCUUAUUUCUUGUGUUUGUGAGUCUUCCUCUGUUCCUUCAGCUAAGGAUCCAAAGGUAUUGCUGGUUUUGACCUCCUUAGUAGGUGUACAUGCUUUGUCAUUCAUUAAGGAGU